GGCACGAUGCCGGAGUGGUCUAACGGGUGAGACUUGAAUUGCCACCAGCGAAUCUUGUCAUCUCAUGUCUUAGGACGCGCAGGUUCGAAUCCUGCUCGUGUCG